rnacentral:rRNA from 1 species
AACGAACGCUGGCGGCAUGCCUAACACAUGCAAGUCGAACGAGACCUUCGGGUCUAGUGGCGCACGGGUGCGUAACGCGUGGGAACCUGCCCUUAGGUUCGGAAUAACUCCCCGAAAGGGGUGCUAAUACCGGAUAAUGUCUUCGGACCAAAGAUUUAUCGCCUUUGGAUGGGCCCGCGUUGGAUUAGCUAGUUGGUAGGGUAAAAGCCUACCAAGGCGACGAUCCAUAGCUGGUCUGAGAGGAUGAUCAGCCACACUGGGACUGAGACACGGCCUAGACUCCUACGGGAAGCAGCAGUGGGGAAUAUUGGACAAUGGGCGAAAGCCUGAUCCAGCAAUGCCGCGUGAGUGAUGAAGGCCUUAGGGUUGUAAAGCUCUUUUACCCGGGAUGAUAAUGACAGUACCGGGAGAAUAAGCUCCGGCUAACUCCGUG